GUAAAAAUGCAUUUUGGAAAAUUUCCCCUGCCUUUCCUCAUAUUCUUUAACUAUUUGUGCACUUAAAAGUAGAUCAAGUUCAUUUACUUCUUCUAAAAAUCACAGACAAAGAAGGUAAAGUAGAAUUACAGCUUUCUUUUUAUUUCAUGCUUCUGAGUUUGAACUUGAAGGGAGUAAUAUUUCUGUGAUUUUAGUUUCUUUCGCCUUUUAACAGAAGUCCCUUCUAUAGUAACAUGUUUAAAUCUAAGCAUUCCACUCCCUUUUUAUGAUGCAGUCAAAUAAGAUUAUAUAUCAUUAUUUUGGUUUAAUAUUAACUGCCAAAUUCAGUUUUUUCUUGUAAGUUUCUAUUUAGGAUGUUUGAGGUUUUGUAUUGUUUAGUUAUUUUUAUCAUCAUUACAAUAUUUAGAAAGUUGUUUUCUUUGUAUCCUGUUUAGUACUGAUUUAGAAUUUUCCUAGUUUGAGAUCUUAUAAUCCUAGCAGGAGUAGGAUUGGAAUCAUUCUAUUUUUGGAUUACUAAUCAAAGUAGGAGUAGGCAGUAGGAUUAACUAUUAAAUCUCUAUAAAUUAUCUAUAUUCAUAGGCUUUGUUUGUGAAAGUAUAUUAGAUUUGAAAGGCUCAACGGCAACUCCUCCCCCUUCUCCCUUUUCUUAUUCUCUUCUUUUUCCCCUCUGCUGCCACAGUACUUUGGGUACAAUUACAGCUUCAAAAACAACCAGAAAUUUCUCUUCUUUUCCCUAUCUAAUAAGCUCUAAUUCAAACUCUUAACCUUAUCCCUUAAAUUGGAAAUCAUAAAAUCAUAAAUUGCUUUCAGUCUGCAUCUAAUAAAAGCAUUUGUGGGUUGUUUCCUCAACCACUAAGUGUUUCACCUGUGUUUUUAGCCAGUUGGCUGCAACAAGUGCUUGCAAGAUUACUUAAGUUGGUUAUUGCAUUGGUAAUUUUCACCAUAGCCUUCACCUCCACCGUCUUUUAUCUACCCCUCUUGUAUGGGAACAAAGAUAUAAUGCAUAGACCAAUUCAUGCUACCCUUUAUUACCUAUUUACCUACGUCAGCUUUUUUAUUUUACUAUGAUGGGUUUUCCUGCUGAAUAUGCCUGAAACUUUUUGCUUCUGAACAUUCUUACCUCUUCUCAUUAUGUUACGUGUCUUGUUGAUCUUGCAAGACUUAAUAAUUGCUAGUUGCACUAGUUUUCUCCAAAAUUUUCGUGCCAACUAUAUUGGAAAUUUAGAACUUAUAUUAAUGCAAUUAGAUUGUGUUAUAAUUGUAACCUUUGGUUGGUUCUUGACAACUAAUUUACAAGCAUUAAUUUUUAACAAUAAUAAAAAUGCUUCUCAGGCAUAUUUUAGUAUCAUAUUAGUGGUUCUUAA
rnacentral:misc_RNA from 1 species